AAAUUGAAGAGUUUGAUCAUGGCUCAGAUUGAACGCUGGCGGCAGGCCUAACACAUGCAAGUCGAACGGUAACAGGAAGCAGCUUGCUGCUUUGCUGACGAGUGGCGGACGGGUGAGUAAUGUCUGGGAAACUGCCUGAUGGAGGGGGAUAACUACUGGAAACGGUGGCUAAUACCGCAUAACGUCGCAAGACCAAAGAGGGGGACCUUCGGGCCUCUUGCCAUCAGAUGUGCCCAGAUGGGAUUAGCUUGUUGGUGAGGUAACGGCUCACCAAGGCGACGAUCCCUAGCUGGUCUGAGAGGAUGACCAGCCACACUGGAACUGAGACACGGUCCAGACUCCUACGGGAGGCAGCAGUGGGGAAUAUUGCACAAUGGGCGCAAGCCUGAUGCAGCCAUGCCGCGUGUAUGAAGAAGGCCUUCGGGUUGUAAAAGUACUUUCAGCGGGGAGGAAGGUGUUGUGGUUAAUAACCGCAGCAAUUGACGUUACCCGCAGAAGAAGCACCGGCUAACUCCGUGCCAGCAGCCGCGGUAAUACGGAGGGUGCAAGCGUUAAUCGGAAUUACUGGGCGUAAAGCGCACGCAGGCGGUCUGUCAAGUCGGAUGUGAAAUCCCCGGGCUCAACCUGGGAACUGCAUUCGAAACUGGCAGGCUUGAGUCUUGUAGAGGGGGGUAGAAUUCCAGGUGUAGCGGUGAAAUGCGUAGAGAUCUGGAGGAAUACCGGUGGCGAAGGCGGCCCCCUGGACAAAGACUGACGCUCAGGUGCGAAAGCGUGGGGAGCAAACAGGAUUAGAUACCCUGGUAGUCCACGCCGUAAACGAUGUCUACUUGGAGGUUGUGCCCUUGAGGCGUGGCUUCCGGAGCUAACGCGUUAAGUAGACCGCCUGGGGAGUACGGCCGCAAGGUUAAAACUCAAAUGAAUUGACGGGGGCCCGCACAAGCGGUGGAGCAUGUGGUUUAAUUCGAUGCAACGCGAAGAACCUUACCUGGUCUUGACAUCCACAGAAGAAUCCAGAGAUGGAUUUGUGCCUUCGGGAACUGUGAGACAGGUGCUGCAUGGCUGUCGUCAGCUCGUGUUGUGAAAUGUUGGGUUAAGUCCCGCAACGAGCGCAACCCUUAUCCUUUGUUGCCAGCGGUCCGGCCGGGAACUCAAAGGAGACUGCCAGUGAUAAACUGGAGGAAGGUGGGGAUGACGUCAAGUCAUCAUGGCCCUUACGACCAGGGCUACACACGUGCUACAAUGGCGCAUACAAAGAGAAGCGACCUCGCGAGAGCAAGCGGACCUCAUAAAGUGCGUCGUAGUCCGGAUUGGAGUCUGCAACUCGACUCCAUGAAGUCGGAAUCGCUAGUAAUCGUGGAUCAGAAUGCCACGGUGAAUACGUUCCCGGGCCUUGUACACACCGCCCGUCACACCAUGGGAGUGGGUUGCAAAAGAAGUAGGUAGCUUAACCUUCGGGAGGGCGCUUACCACUUUGUGAUUCAUGACUGGGGUGAAGUCGUAACAAGGUAACCGUAGGGGGAACCUGCGGUUGGAUCACCUCCUUA
rnacentral:rRNA from 1 species